rnacentral:rRNA from 1 species
UUAAGCGACUAAGCGUACACGGUGGAUGCCCUGGCAGUCAGAGGCGAUGAAGGACGUGCUAAUCUGCGAAAAGCGUCGGUAAGGUGAUAUGAACCGUUAUAACCGGCGAUGUCCGAAUGGGGAAACCCAGUGCAAUUCGUUGCACUAUCGUUAACUGAAUACAUAGGUUAACGAGGCGAACCGGGGGAACUGAAACAUCUAAGUACCCCGAGGAAAAGAAAUCAACCGAGAUUCCCCCAGUAGCGGCGAGCGAACGGGGAGCAGCCCAGAGUCUGAAUCAGCUUGUGUGUUAGUGGAACGGUCUGGAAAGUCCGACGGUACAGGGUGAUAGUCCCGUACACCAAAAUGCACAGGCUGUGAACUCGAAGAGUAGGGCGGGACACGUGGUAUCCUGUCUGAAUAUGGGGGGACCAUCCUCCAAGGCUAAAUACUCCUGACUGACCGAUAGUGAACCAGUACCGUGAGGGAAAGGCGAAAAGAACCCCGGCGAGGGGAGUGAAAAAGAACCUGAAACCGUGUACGUACAAGCAGUGGGAGCACCUUUAUGGUGUGACUGCGUACCUUUUGUAUAAUGGGUCAGCGACUUAUAUUCUGUAGCAAGGUUAACCGUAUAGGGGAGCCGCAGGGAAACCGAGUCUUAACUGGGCGUUAAGUUGCAGGGUAUAGACCCGAAACCCGGUGAUCUAGCCAUGGGCAGGUUGAAGGUUGGGUAACACUAACUGGAGGACCGAACCGACUAAUGUUGAAAAAUUAGCGGAUGACUUGUGGCUGGGGGUGAAAGGCCAAUCAAACCGGGAGAUAGCUGGUUCUCCCCGAAAGCUAUUUAGGUAGCGCCUCGUGAACUCAUCUUCGGGGGUAGAGCACUGUUUCGGCUAGGGGGUCAUCCCGACUUACCAACCCGAUGCAAACUACGAAUACCGAAGAAUGUUAUCACGGGAGACACACGGCGGGUGCUAACGUCCGUCGUGAAGAGGGAAACAACCCAGACCGCCAGCUAAGGUCCCAAAGUCAUGGUUAAGUGGGAAACGAUGUGGGAAGGCACAGACAGCCAGGAUGUUGGCUUAGAAGCAGCCAUCAUUUAAAGAAAGCGUAAUAGCUCACUGGUCGAGUCGGCCUGCGCGGAAGAUGUAACGGGGCUAAACCAUGCACCGAAGCUGCGGCAGCGACACUAUGUGUUGUUGGGUAGGGGAGCGUUCUGUAAGCCUGCGAAGGUGGCCUGUGAGGGUUGCUGGAGGUAUCAGAAGUGCGAAUGCUGACAUAAGUAACGAUAAAGCGGGUGAAAAGCCCGCUCGCCGGAAGACCAAGGGUUCCUGUCCAACGUUAAUCGGGGCAGGGUGAGUCGACCCCUAAGGCGAGGCCGAAAGGCGUAGUCGAUGGGAAACAGGUUAAUAUUCCUGUACUUGGUGUUACUGCGAAGGGGGGACGGAGAAGGCUAUGUUAGCCGGGCGACGGUUGUCCCGGUUUAAGCAUGUAGGCUGGUUAUCCAGGCAAAUCCGGAUAAUCAAGGCUGAGGUGUGAUGACGAGGCACUACGGUGCUGAAGUAACAAAUGCCCUGCUUCCAGGAAAAGCCUCUAAGCAUCAGGUAACAUCAAAUCGUACCCCAAACCGACACAGGUGGUCAGGUAGAGAAUACCAAGGCGCUUGAGAGAACUCGGGUGAAGGAACUAGGCAAAAUGGUGCCGUAACUUCGGGAGAAGGCACGCUGGUGUGUAGGUGAAGUCCCUGCGGAUGGAGCUGAGACCAGUCGAAGAUACCAGCUGGCUGCAACUGUUUAUUAAAAACACAGCACUGUGCAAACACGAAAGUGGACGUAUACGGUGUGACGCCUGCCCGGUGCCGGAAGGUUAAUUGAUGGGGUUAUCCGUAAGGAGAAGCUCUUGAUCGAAGCCCCGGUAAACGGCGGCCGUAACUAUAACGGUCCUAAGGUAGCGAAAUUCCUUGUCGGGUAAGUUCCGACCUGCACGAAUGGCGUAA